rnacentral:misc_RNA from 1 species
GAUGAAGAACGUAGCGAAAUGCGAUAAGUAGUGUGAAUUGCAGAAUUCAGUGAAUCAUCGAAUCUUUGAACGCCCAUUGCGCCCCUUGGUAUCCCGAGGGGCAUGCCUGUUCGAGCGUCAUUUCACCACUCAAGCCUGGCUUGGUGUUGGGCGACGUCCUCUUUGGGGACGCGCCUCGAAACGCUCGGCGGCGUGGCACCGGCUUUAAGCGUAGCAGAAUCUUUCGCUUUGGAAGUCGGGGCCCCGUCUGCCGGAAGACCUGCUCGCAAGGUUGACCUCGGAUCAGGCAGGGAUACCCGCUGAACUUAAGCAUAUCAAUAAGCGGAGGA